GUUUUAAUAGUUUAAUAAAAACAUUAGUCUUGUAAACUAAAAAUAAAAAAUUUUUUUUUAAAACUUC
rnacentral:tRNA from 1 species